rnacentral:lncRNA from 1 species
AUCUCCCUUUAUACUCUUCCACCUGCCGGCGCCAGCUGGCCCGCUGCACGUCGUGGCUCAUCUCGGCGUCUUGGAGCUGCUUCUGAAGGUCGGAGACCUUCUACAACCACUUCUGUUCAUCAUCGACCCGGGCCAAGUGCCGGGAUGAAUUUCCUUCCAGCUGGCCGAUCUUCCUCUUCGCAGCUGACAGUUCCACCUUAAGGGCGCUGAUCCUGGCUUCUUGAGCCCAAAUACGGUCGCUGGUGCUCUUCUUGCACUCCUCGAGUUCCUUUGCAAAGUUCGCCUUCCUCCGGCUGUAAUCCAUGAUCGCCUUCACAUGGAGACUUCGAAAGUGGGCGGCCUCAGCAGCGGCUUCAGAAUGGCCUUCUCUCGAUUUGCAGAGUUCGCCUUCCAUCUUCUUCAACUUCUCCAUCAGGUGAAGGACCUCCUUUUUCAACCGCUGGAUUGUCG